rnacentral:rRNA from 1 species
UAAUACGUAGGUGGCGAGCGUUGUCCGGAAUUACUGGGUGUAAAGGGCGUGUAGGCGGGGAAACAAGUCAGAUGUGAAAUUCUGGGGCUCAACCCCAGCGCUGCAUCUGAAACUGUAUCUCUUGAGUGCUGGAGAGGAAAGCGGAAUUCCUAGUGUAGCAGUGAAAUGCGUAGAUAUUAGGAGGAACACCAGUGGCGAAGGCGGCUUUCUGGACAGUAACUGACGCUGAGGCGCGAAAGCGUGGGGAGCAAACAGGAUUAGAUACCCUGGUAGUCCACGCUGUAAACGAUGGAUACUAGGUGUAGGAGGUAUCGACCCCUUCUGUGCCGCAGUUAACACAAUAAGUAUCCCACCUGGGGAGUACGGCCGCAAGGUUG